GCCCAACAUGGUGUUGUGGUUCGAGUGUUGGACUAUAAUUCUAAAGAUCAGGGUUCAAUUCCCUGCUUAGCCA